AGGAGACAUGCUCAUUCUGCUCUACAGAAAAGAGUCCAAAACCAGAGGCAGAAACAGUUGAGAUGGAGACUGCAGAGGCAGUUGAAGUAGCAAAAACAAAGGUGGAGGUUGUUGCAGAUACAUCAGGUGCAGAGGAAGAGGAGAAGGAGGAGGCAUCGGAAAAAAAGGAUGGAUUCUAUGUGGAUAGCCUGUUGAAGGUGGCGUCUUCAAAGAAAGCUAAAAGAGGAGUGCCAAGGUCUUGCUAAAGACCUAGGAUAUUUGACCAAGGAAAUACCCUUCAAAAUCAUAGGCAAGCAGCUGGCCGAGCGAGGCUGCAGAAGAGAGGAUCAUGACUUGAGUGCUGAACUCGAUAUAAUCGAACAAGUGUUGGGUGACAACAUGGACAUGUAUUCAAAGGUCACACACACACUUGGACCCCAAGUAUGCCAGGUUGUGUUUCAGAUCAUCAGAGAGUGCCUUGUUGCAAAAGCAAGGGCUCUAGAAAAUUGAAUUUUGACACUAUUUCUGACACAAUUACACUGCAGUUAACUGUUCACUGUACUGUACAUUGUUAAAUCAAUGCAAAAAUGCAAUUAAACAAUCUUUUUUGGUUAAAUCUGUUUAUUAUUAUUAUUUAGCGCUUGUAUCUUCUUGUUUUGCGCUUUUUGUAAAGCUCUCGUUUGGCUUGCUCUAUCCGCUGGCGAUAAGCAUGGAGUGCAUGUAUU